GAGAGGAGACCGGACGUGACGUUGCGAAAGAGCAGGUCGGCCCUCGUCAGGUUUAAACGGAGGAGGUGAAACGCCCGCUCCGGCCGUGUUAAGGUGAAAGCGGCGCCGCCAUUUUGAAAGAGGGCGGGCGGAAGUUGCGGUGCGUAAGAAGGUGCUAAUGGAAUAAACACACUCUGAGGAUUUUAUCCCAAGAAAUAAACUGCCACAGGGGACGGAUUGAACCGACCGGCGGGCCAGAUUUGGCCCCCAAAACGAACUUUGGACAUGCCUGGCCUAAGCUCUACAAGGCUUCUGGACCAAAGCUUAUAAAAUGGAAAUGGAAACAUUUAACAGCAAAUAUGUAACAGCAGCAUUUUAACCCCCUUUGCUUGGGGGCAAAAGGAAAAAAAACAAACAAACCACAUAUCUUAAAUGGAAAUACUUUCCCACUAUGGAUUUUCUCCUGUUAGCGAGGGGAAAAAACACAUUGAAGGAACACGACAACAAGACAGUGCAAACAUAAUAUACAGAAAUGGAUGGAGACAUAUUAAGUUCCUAAGUACCAGCAUCGCAUUUCGGCGUUCCCAAGCAACGGCGUACCGAAGGACUCCGCUUUGAUGAUUUAUAGAUACCAGACAUAUGAAGCAACAUUGAAAGCUGCCUAACACUGUUAAUGAAUUUCCAGGUAACCUGUUAUAGGGGUGGGGGGGGGGCUCCUGUUUUUUAACAAGCCUCGGGGAAACCUAUUCUUGAGUAUGGAGAGGCAGCAGCAGCAGCUGUUUUACAGUGGAACGGACUCCCUUGGAAGGUGGCAGACUCUCCUUCCUUGGAAGUUUUUAAGCAGAGGUUGGGUGGCCCUCUGUCAUGGAUGCUUUAUCUGUGAUUGCAGAGAAUUGGACAAGAACGGUCCUUGGAGUCUCUUCCAACUCUACAAUUCUGUGAUUUUGGGAUAAAGCCCUCUAGAGGACUCUCCAACACAUGCACACAGCUGCACCGUGUUCUUUCGUUUCUGAACAGUACACACAGCAGAAAAUUCCACCAUUUCUGCCUAGAGGCCAAUAAUUUGUUGGAGCAGACCAGCUCUUUUUUAAUUCAUUGUCCUGUUUGCAACCAGGGUGGUCCCUUUAUUUAACCACAGGGCAAUAUCUCAGGCCAGUAAACAGGCUAGAGGCAGGGGAUGGGAUUUCUCUCACAUACAUAACAUGCCAUUUCUCAAUAAGUUCUAUAUUUUAAAAAAAGCUGCUCUGAACAUCUGUUUUGGCACCUCUUCCACACCAAACUUUUUUUUAAAAAAAGUGACUGCGGAAAUGACCACUGAAAGUGCUAAAGAAGAACUGGGGUGUGUACGUACCCCAGAACUGGCCAGAAAAUCUGGUUUACCGAUUGCGAAAGCAUGAUUUCCCAGUUUAAUAAUAAUAAUAAUAAAGCUUCCCGUCAGUUCUGUCCAGAGCUUUGAGGCCAUUAGAUUUAUUGCUCAGCUUGGCAGGAAAGAAAAAUCUGCUGUCGGGAGAAUCCUUGGAGAAUCCUCUUGAACAUUUCACUUUCCAAAGUUUGUUCAAACUUAUUUGCAAGCCCUUGCUGCAGCCUUGUGGGUGCAGAUCUAAUGAGGUUGGGGCCCGUUCAGCAUUGGAUCCCAAAGCAUCAAAAUAUUGAUUACUCGGCAACAGUUGAAAAGGAAAAGUCACCCCACCAUCUCUGAUAGAGGAGGAACAACAGGAAGGUCAUUUCACUUCUAUUCCCCUACAAAAAAAGAGCAAGAUUCUAAUACUCCAGGGUUGAUGUAUGGUUUUUUACAGACUGCAAAGGAAAGCUCACGCCAAACACUGCAGUCUAGGGACUGAAGGAGGUGCCGGUCCACUAGCCAAUUUCUCGUGGGCUGCCUGACGCUUGCAAAUAUGCCUGGAUGAAGCAGAUAUUCUGUGCAAGAGUCUUCUGGAUGAGGCCAAGGGGACUCACCUAGUUCAGAAUCCUGUUCUCACAACCAGAUGCCUCCAAGGAACCCACACGUCGGAUUUAAGCACAAUAGCAUUGCCCCCUCCUGUGGUCUCCAGCAACUGGGGUUCAGAGGCAUUUCUUCCUCCAACUACAGAGGCAGAGCAUAGCCAUCCUGGAUAGUAAAGGAAAAGGUAAAGGGACCCCUGACCAUUAGGUCCAGUCGUGACCGACUCUGGGGUUGCGGCGCUC